CCUACGGGUGGCAGCAGUGAGGAAUAUUGGUCAAUGGACGAGAGUCUGAACCAGCCAAGUAGCGUGAAGGAUGACUGCCCUAUGGGUUGUAAACUUCUUUUAUAUGGGAAUAAAAUGUUCCACGUGUGGGAUUUUGUAUGUACCAUAUGAAUAAGGAUCGGCUAACUCCGUGCCAGCAGCCGCGGUAAUACGGAGGAUCCGAGCGUUAUCCGGAUUUAUUGGGUUUAAAGGGAGCGUAGGUGGAUUGUUAAGUCAGUUGUGAAAGUUUGCGGCUCAACCGUAAAAUUGCAGUUGAAACUGGCAGUCUUGAGUACAGUAGAGAUGGGCGGAAUUCGUGGUGUAGCGGUGAAAUGCUUAGAUAUCACGAAGAACUCCGAUUGCGAAGGCAGUUCACUGGACUGCAACUGACACUGAGGCUCGAAAGUGUGGGUAUCAAACAGGAUUAGAUACCCGUGUAGUC
rnacentral:rRNA from 1 species